GAGUGGCGAACUGGUGAGUAACACGUGGGUAACCUGCCCCGAAGCGGGGGAUAACAUUUGGAAACAAGUGCUAAUACCGCAUAAUUAGUUGGAACCGCAUGGUUCCAACUUGAAAGAUGGCUCUGCUAUCACUUUGGGAUGGACCCGCGCCGUAUUAGUUAGUUGGUGAGAUAAAAGCCCACCAAGACGAUGAUACGUAGCCGACCUGAGAGGGUAAUCGGCCACAUUGGGACUGAGACACGGCCCAGACUCCUACGGGAGGCAGCAGUAGGGAAUCUUCCACAAUGGACGAAAGUCUGAUGGAGCAACGCCGCGUGAGUGAUGAAGGUUUUCGGAUCGUAAAACUCUGUUGUUAAAGAAGAACAAGUGUUAGAGUAACUGUUAACACUUUGACGGUAUUUAACCAGAAAGCCACGGCUAACUACGUGCCAGCAGCCGCGGUAAUACGUAGGUGGCAAGCGUUGUCCGGAUUUAUUGGGCGUAAAGCGAGCGCAGGCGGUUUUGUAAGUCUGCUGUGAAAGCCCUCAGCUCACUGAGGAAGUGCAGUGGAAACUACAAAACUUGAGUACAGAAGAGGAAAGUGGAACUCCAUGUGUAGCGGUGAAAUGCGUAGAUAUAUGGAAGAACACCAGUGGCGAAGGCGGCUUUCUGGUCUGUUACUGACGCUGAGGCUCGAAAGCAUGGGUAGCGAACAGGAUUAGAUACCCUGGUAGUCCAUGCCGUAAACGAUGAAUACUAGGUGUUGGAGGGUUUCCGCCCUUCAGUGCCGCAGCUAACGCAUUAAGUAUUCCGCCUGGGGAGUACGACCGCAAGGUUGAAACUCAAAGGAAUUGACGGGGGCCCGCACAAGUGGUGGAGCAUGUGGUUUAAUUCGAUGCUACGCGAAGAACCUUACCAGCUCUUGACAUCUUCUGCCAACCCAAGAGAUUGGGCGUUCCCUUCGGGGACAGAAUGACAGGUGGUGCAUGGUUGUCGUCAGCUCGUGUCGUGAGAUGUUGGGUUAAGUCCCGCAACGAGCGCAACCCUUAUUAUUAGUUGCCAGCAUUUAGUUGGGCACUCUAGUGAGACUGCCGGUGAUAAACCGGAGGAAGGUGGGGACGACGUCAAAUCAUCAUGCCCCUUAUGAGCUGGGCUACACACGUGCUACAAUGGAUGGUACAACGAGUCGCGAAACCGCGAGGUCAAGCUAAUCUCUUAAAGCCAUUCUCAGUUCGGAUUGCAGGCUGCAACUCGCCUGCAUGAAGUUGGAAUCACUAGUAAUCGUGGAUCAGCAUGCCACGGUGAAUACGUUCCCGGGCCUUGUACACACCGCCCGUCACACCAUGAGAGUUUGUAACACCCAA
rnacentral:rRNA from 2 species